rnacentral:rRNA from 1 species
UUCUUUUUGAUUUAAAUAUAAAGUAAGUUCUGCCCAAUGAUUAUUUAUUUAAUGGCUGCAGUAUAUUGACUGUACAAAGGUAGCAUAAUAGAUUGCUUUUUAAAUGAAAGCUAGAAUGAAAGAAUAAAUGAAAUAUAAACUUUAUUAAAUUAAUUUUUUGAAAUUUAUUUUUAAGUUAAAAAGCUUAAAUAAAUUUAUAAGACGAGAAGACCCUAAAGAAUUUUAUAUUUAAUUAAAUUAAAAUUUAAUUAAAUAUUUUUUUGGGAGGAAUAAAAAAUAAAAAGCUUUUUUUAAAGUUAAUCAUUGAUUAUUGGUUUAUAAUAGAAUUUAUAAUAAUAAUAAUAAGAUUAAAUUACCUUAGGGAUAACAGCGUAAUAUUUUUUGAUAGUUCUUAUUGAUAAAAAUGUUU